GUGGAAGUUAAACAGAGUGACAUCUUGCUUUGGCUGAUGGACAGUUUGGGGCACUUGUGGAGCCAGAAAGCCGGUCUUCCUGUUCCUGGCUAGAACCCUCUUCUGCUAUAGUG
rnacentral:lncRNA from 1 species